CUCGUCCGUCUAUUCUGGAAGCAACGACACUUCCUGAUUGGCUGUGGAGCACCUUACCGCUAGAGAAAGCCAUGCAACAUCCGUGUCCUACCCGCCUCUGGUUGCAUCUGGGUCCCAUGGCUGGCCCGGUCCACGCAUCAGUGUCUACGGGUCGUUUUCAGUUUGGGCUCGCUGGCGCCGGCCGUGGAAAAUAUCUCUCCACGCGGGGUAGAUCGGGCCUUUCCUCGCCAAUCGCCGCGCGUGCUCUCUUCCCCCUAUCCCCACUCCUCUUCCUGUCGCCGUCUCCUCCGCUCCCGUCCGCGUGCGGCGGCGGCCGCCGCCAUCCCCGCCGCUAGCCCCUCUUCCUCCCCCACGUCCCUCUCUAGAACUCCACUUUACCGGAAGAGAGAUGGGAGGCCAGUGGAGCGAUGACAUCAACCGUGCUGAGCAGCGAGCGGGAGCGCCGAAGGUGGAGCGACGACAUCGAGGGAGCUGAGCAGCCCAGCAAGGAGUUGUGCACGAAGGGGCGGAGCAGGUGGUUCCCUUCCCCAUCCCUCGGUCGCCGCCCUUCGCGCCGCCGGCCGGCUAGAGCGUCGUUGCGGGCCGGCUUGCGUGUGCGUGCAGGGAAAAGGCAAAGAUUUCAGCUCUGCAUCGAUGGGAUCCGGUCAAAACUUGGUUCGAGGGAUCGAUGCAGGAAGCCAAGAAGCGGGCUAGGGUGGAGCGAUGUGGCGAUGUGCAGCUCCUGCGGGUGGCAGAUCGAUUCGGAGGUGACUGGUUGGAGAGGGCCUGCUGCUUCUUUGGGGUGGAUGCGUGAGGAUCUGGUACAUGUGGCCAGCAUGGUGUUGCAGCGACGGGACAAGUUCACGGCUCAAACUUCAUCUCAGUUUCAGGUUUGGAACUUUCUUGUUAACCUCCAUUGUCCAUCCUGGAUUUUCUUAGUGUCGUGUGGAGAAGGACUGGUGAAUAGAGGCUUGACGGAGGACGAAUAUAGACCGUCGGUGGCGAGCUGCAUCUCCCAUCGGUCUCCAUUCUCCAUCCCUGGCUUGUCUUAGUGUCGUGUUGUGGCUGGCCAGGCUCUGCCGGUCGCUCGAGCUCGGCCAUGGCCGCUGCUGCCGAGAUGGAGACGAGGAUGGUCUGUCAAGUUCCCACAGGGUGGUCAGCCACAUUGUUCAUACCCCCAUCACUACCAUCACCUCCCGCCCAGCGGUCUUGAGACUGAAUACAUGUAUUAGUCGAUUGGGUCGAUCGGGUCUUAUUGGUAAGAAGCUGUCUGCCUCACUGCGUAUGGACCAAUAACUUCGGAAACCCAACUUCCAACCUUGAAUCUAAUGAUUUGACGACAAUUUCUCUGUUGUAGAACACCCCGGUACCGCAUUCUCGCUUUGCACCACCGUUUCGGCCAAAGGUUCAGAUCUUCGACUCACGUAAUAUACUCCUAAAUUAAGCGUACAGUUGGAUUAGAUCAGGUGGCUGUCAGCGCUCAUGAGGCCUCUGAACAAAUUAAAUCUAAUGUGAUGUCUGAUUGUCUCUAGGAUGAGGAGCGAGGACGUAUCAGAUGGCUGAUUCGACCAUGGUCCCUGUCAGAUUCGCUCCCAGCGCAGCCAAGAUGCAUUUGCGCUACUCCAUGACGCGGAGUGCUCUGAACAGCAUCGGCGGCAAGUUGGAGCACGGGGGGCUCGUAUAGCAGAUAGGGAACGGCAUAAUUUCAAGUUCCAGAUGGCCUAGGUGAUGCUUGGAGGACGAUCUGGCGCUUACAUCUGGUGGCUGAUGUCAACAAGUACCUGGACAUAUCGCUCACCCCCAUGAAAGGGGAAUGGAGACAGGGAUCCGACUAAGCUGAAAGUACUUACUCGUUUCAGUAGGCCAACUUAAUCUUCAUCCAUCUUUAUUCAGUUUCUAUUGCUUCAUAUUAACUAUAUACUACGGAGUACUAUUUAUGAGGAGUAAAUUAUUGAUGUAUAACAUCAGCUUAAUUAUCCUCACACUCGUUCUAUGUAACUGAUCAAGAUCACCUGGGACAUUGUGCAUCAUCGAGGCAAAAAAGAAUCAAUGGAGACAGGGAUCGAAGUAAGCUGAAAGUACAUACUCGUUUCAGUAGGCCACCUCCAUCUUCAUCCAUCUUUAUUCAGUUUCACUAUUGUUUCAUAUUGACUAUACAUUUAUGAGAAGUAAAUUAUUGAUGUAUAACAUGAACUUAUAUAUCCUCACACUCGUUCUAUUUAACUGAUCAUAUACUAGCUGAAUAAUAAACAUGUUAGUUGCGCUUAUAAUGUUUAUCAAGGAAUACAUGUUUGCUGUGGUAACUGUUCCUAGGUAUGUAGAUAUUUUUUGCCUUGAUAUUUUUCAACGCAUAAUAUGGUUAUUUGACAUUUGGAGCAGUCAAUGCAAGGGUGCAGUUACAACUUUGUCAUGGAUCGUCUAUCUGAAUUGACAUAUAUCGAUGGACUUUAAUUUCUGGUACUUAUAUUUAUAGUUCUACAUUUUCUGGGCUGCUCUGUAUUUAUUCUAUAUCUUCAAGACGUUAUAUGAUUGCAAAGGAGAAAUGGAUGCCUAGAACAAGCAGUCUUGCAUAUCUGAUUAAAAACUCAUUCCUGAAGUUGAUGCCAUUCGACUAGAGUAUUGAUCAUUUCGUCUCCAUAACCUCAUUCUGUGUUAAUUGGAUUGACUAUACCCUAUCGGCUUUUGUAAUUUGGUACUAAAAUAGAAUUUUUGUUUAUUGCAGGACUAACAGAUCGACCAACAACAGAUCAGCAAGGCCUUACUAUAUUCACAUAUAACUCUGAAGAUAUUGAAAAGGCAGAGC